AACACAAAAAUUUGAAUGUGAGAUUUUAACAGUUUUAGUAUAGCCGUUUAAAAAAUCAAAAUAUAACAUAUACAUAAAAUCUAAGUUUUUAUUAUAUGGUAAAUGUAGUUGUUUAACUUAUUAUAAUAUUUUUAAUUAAAACAUAUGGUAGACGAUACACUAAUUUUUUUAUUAAAUAUUUAUUAUCCAAAAUCAUUCAUAUCCACAUUAGGCAGUUUCAUAAUUUUUUUUUAAAGAAAGAACGAAGAGUAUUAAUGAUACAUUUAUGGUUUAUUUAAUAAAAGCUAAUUAUAUAUAUAGAUGGACCAACAUAUUUUUCUAAAGAUUCUAAGAAUCAUUAUGGUGAUGACCCGGACUACCUCAAAUGUUGUAGUGUUUCUUUUUUAAUAUAUAGAUGAUGUCUUAUAAGGUGUUAGAUAUUCCAAGACUUGUGCAGCAAGUUAACUUAUUAUUAAGUGUUUAAUAAGUUAAAUACACAAAAAGGAAAUCUAAGAUUAAAAAAAGAAGUUUACUAUUUAUAUUAUGUUUGUGUUUUUAUAUUCCAUAUGUAAAAAAAGUGUCUUUUACUAUAAAUAGAUAUCUAAUGGAGAGGUGUUCAAUAAGAUCAAAGAGAAACAUUGAGAGCUUUAGUUUGGAGAAGUUUCUAGAGGAAUACAGAAGGUUGUUCUUAUAAUUCUUUGUGUUUAUAGAGAUUUUGAAUUGGUUUCAAAGCUUAAGUUGAUUCAUCGAUCACGUAAGCAAGAUGGCCGACGUGACUCGAGUUGCGCCUCGUACAAACGACUUUUGAGCCGAAUCCAUCCAAUGUCCAAUGGUGUCAUCGACAAACUAUACGGUGUAGUGGAUGAGGAUGAAAGUUUUGCUGUGUGUUCAUGAAGUGUGGGACACAAUCGAACCCGGUUCAGAUAAUCAAAAGAAAAACGAUGCUGCGACUGCUUUUUUGUUUCAGUCCGUUCCUGAAACUUUGAUUCUUUAGGUGAGAGAAUAAACCGCUUCAAAAGAGAUCUGUAACGCCAUCAAGUCACGACACCUCAGAGUCGUGUAAGAGAGGCGAGACUUCAGACAUUGAUAACGGAGUUUGAUAGGGACUCCUUUGACACUAGUACAUCCAGAUCGUAGCAUCUAUUGAGAAAUUCCUAGACCUUAAUUCUAUGGGUUUUGAAGAUAUAGUUGGAAGGCUAAAGCCAUAUGAGGAGCAUGUAGGGGAAAUACCCAGAAAGAAAACCAAGGGAAGCUUAUGUUUUCAAAUAACGACCAUGGAAGAGGACGAAAUGGAAGAGGCAACGAUCGAGGUCGGUUAACAAUCAGAACCAUGUGUCACACACCGAAGAAGGAUCGUUCAAAGGUGAUAUGUUAGAGAUGUGACAAGCCGGAUCACUAUACAACUUUCUAUCCCGAGAAACCGAUAAAGAAUCAAGAAGCCAACCAAAACGAGACACAAGAGGCCGACGCCCUCUAUGUACAUCAGGUGGUGUUUUUGAAUGAAGACAAAGUGAUUCCGAAGAAUCUUGAUAUCGACAAAGGCAAUGCAAUUGUUUGGUAUUUAAAUAAUGGAGCAAGCAAUCACAUAACAGGAAACAAGGAGCUCUUUUCGAGUUUGGAUCAAAACACCAAAGGGAAGGUGAAGUUUGGUGAUGGUUCAUGUAUUGAUAUUGUAGGAAAUGGUGUGGUUACUAUUGUGUGCAAUACCGGAGAGGAGAAGGCACUCAAAGACAUAUAUUACAUACCGACCUCAAGCAUAACAUAUUGUAUCUUGGACAAGCGACAUAAAACGGAUGUGAGGUUAACAUGAAAGACAUCAAUUUAACACUCACAUAUUCAUGUCGAAGAGUGCUAGUAUGAGUUACGAGAUCUUCAAACCGUAUCUACAAGAUCCCAAUGGAGAUUAGCUACAUGAAGUGUUUACUUGUCAGAGAUGAAGAUGCUACAUAGAGGUGGUAUGCUCAACUAGGACAUAUAAGCUAUGGAGUUAUGAACACCAUGGUAAAGGGAAAACACAUUUACAUUAUAUGAUACAUAUUCUUAUAUACAUCAAAUAAUCUUAUGAAAACAUGAUGAAAGGGAAAGUUUAGAUUAUUUAAUAUAUAAACCAUGCCAAUAAUGAUUUUUAUUUAAAUAUAAACAGAAAGUUUUGGUAAACUAAUACUAUACCAUAUUUACACUAUUAUUAAUUACAUAAUUUUUAUUGUAAAAUAACUAAAAAGACAUAAUUUGAUGUUUAUAUGUGUUAUAGGAAACAAUAUAUUAUUGAUAUUGACAAGGUUAUUGAUGAGAAAUGUUUGUCUUAUUGAUUUUGAAGAUGAGUUGGCCAAUAAUGCAAAAUAUAUUACUGACAUUGUUGUCGUGUUGUAUCUUGGCAAAUGGUAGUUUAGACUACUAUAUGUUUAAGUGAUUUUCACGUAAAACUUGUAUUUUUGGUAACAAAUAAAUAAUAUAAUGUCCGUCUCGGUGCUAGUUCUAAUUAGAUACAUAAUUUUUAAAAUCUUAUGUCAUAUUAUAUUUUAUAUUAUAAUAUUCCAUACAAUAUUUUGACAAUUAUAUAUUUUUCUUAAGGAAAUCUAUAUUUUUCCUAUAUUAUAUAUAUAUAUAUAUAUAUAUAUAUUCUUAAGUAAAUAUAUAUUUUUCAUAUAACUAAGAAUAUAUUUUUAUUUAUUUAUGAAUCUAUAAGACAAUUUUUGAGAAAAUAAGAACUGUUAUACAAACUAUUACCUAUAACAUUAUUUCACUUCAGUAAAUGUAUGCCCAAAUUUCAAUAUAUCUAUAGAUUACCCAUUAAGAAUGGACGAAUAUUUUUUUUCAACUAUACAAAAUUAGUAAAUAAAAAAGUAGUUGCUAAUUUCUUGCUAAUUAAUUAUGGCCUCAUAUUUAAUCCAUACAAAUUAUACACACACACACACACACAUAUAUUAUAUAUAUAUAUAUAUAUAAAUGAAUGUCAUUAGUUGGUAAUUUUAUGUGGUGAUAUAUCCUAUCAGAACUAAAAUGAAAAUUUGGAACAACUAUUCCACAUAAAUAUUUUGGAAUAUAACGAAAAUAAAAUUAAUAAAAAUUAUAAUUUCUAGUUUUUCGGAUCAUCUUAGUACAACGUUUUUUGUGGCAUAUAUACAUGUCCAUAUUUAAGGUUAUUGAAGAGAAAUUAGUAAAUGCUAAUUUGGUAGCUAAUCUGUUGCUAGUUGAUUUUAUCCACAUAUUUAAUCAUUCAACGUUGCGUAUAUACGGUUGUCGCUAAAUGGUAUUUUAAGGUGAUGACAUAUCGUAAAAAAAAUUAAAAUAAAUGUUUGGAAUAAAAUUAAAAAAAAAAUAAACCUAACCAAUUAUUUUAAAGCUGUUUUUCCGGAUAAUCCUAAAAAUAGUUUUCAAAGACUUAUAUAUAUGUAUAUGUUCACAUUUAAGGUUUUCUACAAUAAACACACAAAAUAUUUAUUUACAGUGAAGAGUUACAAUGUCAACAUCUAAAUUUGCUAUAUUUUGUAUUGUUCUGGUGUUUCUUGCUAGUUGUCAUGAAUGUGCCGACCUCAACAGAGGGCCCAAACCAACAUGCUCUAAAACACCAAAGAAUGUUUGGUGUUGCAGCAACAAUUCACACUGUCGGGAAACCAAAGCGCUAUGUGAGAAGAUUUGUUGGGUCCGCGGUUGAAUUUUUCUGAAGAGAACUUCUAUAAUUAUUUAUUCCAAAUAUUUUUGUACUUCCAUUAGUCUAAAUUCGAAUAAUAAAUAGUAAUUCUUAUUCCAAAUAAGAAUCUAGUAUUAUGAAUUAAAUAAUUUGUUAUACCUUCGAAAGAGAUCGAAAUAUAUAUUGUUGUUUAUGGCUUUCUUCAAUUGUAUUUUAGAAGUUUAUAAAUGUUAUGUAAAAUUGAGAAUAAAACUAUUUUAGACUGUUUAACUGAAUUUAAAUGUUGUAAACAAUUGGCUUAUAAAAUAAAAUAAAAAAUAUAUUUUUCAGAACCUAGUAUAGAAUUUAUAAAAUAACUAACACCAAUAUUAAUAGUUAUCACCAGUCGUGGGUUGGCCUGAUUCAAAAUAUGACACAAUUAUUUAAGAUAAUAUAUACUACAAAAUUCAUAAUGGGGGAGGUCUUUUCAAAUAUGGUCUCAUUAAAGUUUUAUAAUAAUAAAUAAUAUGUAAAAUUUGUAUAAUUAAAAAAAUCAUUGUUUUUUUCACAACGUAGUCCAUCUCUAAUUAUUCUUAAAAAUUCGAAAUUUUUUAUAUUGUUUUAUAAUCUUACAUAUAAAACACAUUUACAUAAUAUGAUACAUAUUCUUAAAGACAUCAAAUAAUCUUUAAAAAACAUGAUGAAAGGGAAAUUUUGGAUUAUUUAGUAUAUAAUCCAUGACAAUAAUGAUUUUUAUUUGAAUAUAAACAGAAAGUUUUGGUAAACUAAUACUUUACCAUAUUUACACAAUUAUUAAUUACAUAAUUUUUAUUUUAAAAUAACUAAAAAGACAUAAUUUGAUGUUUAUAUGUGUUAUAGGAAACAAUAUAUUAUUGAUAUUGACAAGGUUAUUGAUGAGAAAUGUUUGUCUUAUUGAUUUGAAGAUGAGUUGGCCAAUAAUGCAAAAUAUAUUACUGACACUGUUGUCGUGGUGUAUCUUGGCAAAUGGUAGUUUAGACUACUAUAUGUUUAAGUGAUUUUCACGUAAAACUUGUAUUUUUGGUAACAAAUAAAUAAUAUAAUGGCCGUCUCGGUGCUAGUUCUAAUUAGAUACAUAAUUUUUAAAAUCUUAUGUCAUAUUAUAUUUUAUAUUAUAAUAUUCCAUACAAUAUUUUGACAAUUAUAUAUUUUUCUUAAGGAAAUCUAUAUUUUUCCUAUAUUAUAUAUAUAUUCUUAAGUAAAUAUAUAUUUUUCAUAUAACUAAGAAUAUAUUUUUAUUUAUUUAUGAAUCUAUAAGAUAAUUUUUGAGAAAAUAAGAACUGUUAUACAAAGUAUUACCUAUAACAUUAUUUCACUUCAGUAAAUGUAUGCCCAAAUUUCAUUAUAUCUAUAGAUUACCCAUUAAGAAUGGACGAAUAUUUUUUUUCAACUAUACAAAAUUAGUAAAUAAAAAAUUAGUUGCUAAUUUCUUGCUAAUUAAUUUUGGCCUCAUAUUUAAUCCAUACAAAUUAUACACACACACAUAUACAUUAUAUAUAUAUAUAAAUGAAUGUCAUUAGUUGGUAAUUUUAUGUGGUUAUAUAUCCUAUCAGAACUAAAAUGAAAAUUUGGAACAACUAUUUAACAUAAAUAUUUUGGAAUAUAACGAAAAUAAAAUUAAAAAAAAUUACAAUUUCUAGUUUUUCGGAUCAUCUUAGUACAACGUUUUUUGUGGCAUAUAUACAUGUCCAUAUUUAAGGUUAUUGAAGAGAAAUUAGUAAAUGCUAAUUUGGUAGCUAAUCUAUUGCUAGUUGAUUUUAUCCACAUAUUUAAUCAUUCAACGUUGCGUAUAUAUGGUUGUCGCUAAAUGGUAUUUUAAGGUGAUGACAUAUCGUAAAAAAAAUUAAAAUAAAUGUUUCGAAUAAAAUUAAAAAAAAAUAAAACUAACCAAUCAUUUGAAAGCUGUUUUUCCGGAUAAUCCUAAAAAUAGUUUUCAAAGACUUAUAUAUAUGUAUAUGUUCACAUUUAAGGUUUUCUACAAUAAACACACAAAAUAUUUAUUUACAGUGAAGAGUUACAAUGUCAACAUCUAAAUUUGCUAUAUUUUGUAUUGUUCUGGUGUUUCUUGCUAGUUGUCAUGAAUGUGCCGACCUCAACAGAGGGCCCAAACCAACAUGCUCUAAAACACCAAAGAAUGUUUGGUGUUGCAGCAACAAUUCACACUGUCGGGAAACCAAAGCGCUAUGUGAGAAGAUUUGUUGGGUCCGCGGUUGAAUUUUUCUGAAGAGAACUUCUAUAAUUAUUUAUUCCAAAUAUUUUUGUACUUCCAUUAGUCUAAAUUCGAAUAAUAAAUAGUAAUUCUUAUUCCAAAUAAGAAUCAAGUAUUAUGAACUAAAUAAUUUGGUAUACCUUCGAAAGAGAUCGAAAUAUAUAUUGUUGUUUAUGACUUUCUUCAAUUGUAUUUUAGAAGUUUAUAAAUGUUAUGUAAAAUUGAGAAUAAAACUAUUUUAGACUGUUUAACUGAAUUUAAAUGUUGUAAACAAUUGGCUUAUAAAAUAAAAUAAUUUUUUUUUUCAGAAACUAGUAUAGAAUUUAUAAAAUAACUAACACCAAUAUUAAUAGUUAUCACCAGUCGCGGGUUGGGCUGAUUCAAAAUAUGACACAAUUAUUUAAGAUAAUAUAUACUAUAAAAUUCACAAUGGUGGAGGUCUUUUCAAAUAUGGUCUCAUUAAAGUUUUAUAAUAAUAAAUAAUAUGUAAAAUUUGUAUAAUUAAAAAAAUCAUUGUAUUUUUCACAACGAAGUCCAUCUCUAAUUAUUCUUAAAAAUUCGAAAUUUUUUUAUAUUGUUUUAUAAUCUUACAUAUAAAACACAUUUACAUAAUAUGAUACAUAUUCUUAAAGACAUCAAAUAAUCUUUAAAAAACAUGAUGAAAGGGAAAGAUUAGAUUAUUUAGUAUAUAUAAUCCAUGAAAAUAAUGAUUUUUAUUUGAAUAUAAACAGAAAGUUUUGGUAAACUAAUAUUAUACCAUAUUUACACAAUUAUUAAUUACAUAAUUUGUAUUGUAAAAUAACUAAAAAGACAUAAUUUGAUGUUUAUAUGUGUUAUAGGAAACAAUAUAUUAUUGAUAUUGACAAGGUUAUUGAUGAGAAUUGCUUGUCUUAUUGAUUUUGAAGAUGAGUUGGCCAAUAAUGCAAAAUAUAUUACUGACACUGUUGUCGUGUUGUAUCUUGGCAAAUGGUAGUUUAGACUACUAUAUGUUUAAGUGAUUUUCACGUAAAACUUAUAUUUUUGGUAACAAAUAAAUAAUAUAAUGGUCGUCUCGGUGCUAGUUCUAAUUAGAUACAUAAUUUUUAAAAUCUUAUGUCAUAUUAUAUUUUAUAUUAUAAUAUUCCAUACAAUAUUUUGACAAUUAUAUAUUUUUCUUAAGGAAAUCUAUAUUUUUCCUAUAUUAUAUAUAUAUAUAUAUAUAUUCUUAAGUAAAUAUAUAUUUUUCAUAUAACUGAGAAUAUAUUUUUAUUUAUUUAUGAAUCUAUAAGAUAAUUUUUGAGAAAAUAAGAACUGUUAUACAAACUAUUACCUAUAACUUUAUUUCACUUCAGUAGAUGUAUGCCCAAAUUUCAUUAUAUCUAUAGAUUACCCAUUAAGAAUGGACGAAUAUUUUUUUUCAACUAUACAAAAUUAGUAAAUAAAACAUUAGUUGCUAAUUUCUUGCUAAUUAAUUUUGGCCUCAUAUUUAAUCCAUAAAAAUUAUACACACAUACACACACAUAUAUAUAUAUAUAUAUAUAUAAAUGAAUGUCAUUAGUUGGUAAUUUUAUGUGGUGAUAUAUCCUAUCAGAACUAAAAUGAAAAUUUGGAACAACUAUUUAACAUAAAUAUUUUGGAAUAUAACGAAAAUAAAAUUAAUAAAAAUUAUAUAUUUUCUAGUUUUUCGGAUCAUCUUAGUACAACGUUUUUUGUGGCAUAUAUACAUGUCCAUAUUUAAGGUUAUUGAAGAGAAAUUAGUAAAUGCUAAUUUGGUAGCUAAUCUAUUGCUAGUUGAUUUUAUCCACAUAUUUAAUCAUUCAACGUUGCGUAUAUAUGGUUGUCGCUAAAUGGUAUUUUAAGGUGAUGACAUAUCGUAAAAAAAAUUAAAAUAAAUGUUUGGAAUAAAAUUAAAAAAAAAAUAAAACUAACCAAUCAUUUUAAAGCUGUUUUUCUGGAUAAUCCUAAAAAUAGUUUUCAAAGACUUAUAUAUAUGUAUAUGUUCACAUUUAAGGUUUUCUACAAUAAACACACAAAAUAUUUAUUUACAGUGAAGAGUUACAAUGUCAACAUCUAAAUUUGCUAUAUUUUGUAUUGUUCUGGUGUUUCUUGCUAGUUGUCAUGAAUGUGCCGACCUCAACAGAGGGCCCAAACCAACAUGCUCUAAAACACCAAAGAAUGUUUGGUGUUGCAGCAACAAUUCACACUGUCGGGAAACCAAAGCGCUAUGUGAGAAGAUUUGUUGGGUCCGCGGUUGAAUUUUUCUGAAGAGAACUUCUAUAAUUAUUUAUUCCAAAUAUUUUUGUACUUCCAUUAGUCUAAAUUCGAAUAAUAAAUAGUAAUUCUUAUUCCAAAUAAGAAUCUAGUAUUAUGAACUAAAUAAUUUGGUAUACCUUCGAAAGAGAUCGAAAUAUAUAUUGUUGUUUAUGGCUUUCUUCAAUUGUAUUUUAGAAGUUUAUAAAUGUUAUGUAAAAUUGAGAAUAAAACUAUUUUAGACUGUUUAACUGAAUUUAAAUGUUGUAAACAAUUGGCUUAUAAAAUAAAAUAAAAUAUACAUUUUUCAGAACCUAGUAUAGAAUUUAUAAAAUAACUAACACCAAUAUUAAUAGUUAUCACCAGUCGCGGGUUGGGCUGAUUCAAAAUAUGACACAAUUAUUUAAGAUAAUAUAUACUAUAAAAUUCACAAUGGUGGAGGUCUUUUCAAAUAUGGUCUCAUUAAAGUUUUAUAAUAAUAAAUAAUAUGUAAAAUUUGUAUAAUUAAAAAAAUCAUUGUAUUUUUCACAACGAAGUCCAUCUCUAAUUAUUCUUAAAAAUUCGGGAUUUUUUAUAUUGUUUUAUAAUCUUACAUAUAAAACACAUUUACAUAAUAUGAUACAUAUUCUUAAAGACAUCAAAUAAUCUUUAAAAAACAUGAUGAAAGGGAAAGUUUAGAUUAUUUAGUAUAUAAUCCAUGACAAUAAUGAUUUUUAUUUGAAUAUAAACAGAAAGUUUUGGUAAACUAAUACUAUACCAUAUUUACACCAUUAUUAACUGCAGAAUUUUUAUUUGUAAAAUAACUAAAAAGACAUGAUUUGGUGUUUAUACGUCUUAUAGGAAGCAAUAUAUUAUGGAUAGUGACAAGGUUAUUGAUGAGAAAUGUUUGUCUUAUUGAUUUUGAAAAUGAGUUGAGCAAUAAUACAAAACUAGACUUUGAUCCGCGCGCCCGCGCGGGUGUAUUUUUCAAAAAUAUGUUACUGUUUGUUUUUCAUGUCACUAUUAGGAUUGUGCAAAAAACCUGAAUCCAAAAAACCGAUCCGAUCCCGAUCUAAAAAAGUAGUAUCAAAUCUGAACCGAAAUUGAUUAAAUAUCUGAAUUAUUCAAAAUUUUAGUAUUUAGAGAACUGAAACCGAAUCUGAUCCAAACUAAAAUAUUUCGGGUAUCCGAAUAUAUCCGAAAUAGAUUUAUAUACUUAUAUAUAUUAAUUGUUUAUAGAUUUAAUGUAUAUAAAAACAUCCAGAAUAUAAAAGAUACUUUUAAGUUGGUUUAAAUACUUGAAAAUAUAUACAAAUUGUCAAAAGUAAACAUCUAAAAUCGUUAAAGUAUACUCAAAAUACUAAAAAUACUUAAAAUAAUAAUUAAUUCUCUAUCUAAAUAUUUAAACCAAACCAAUUUAUAUGUUAAGUUUAGGUAUCCUGACAAGUGUUAUUCAAAUUUAUAUGUAAUAUAUUAUUUUAUUUAUAGAUUUUGAGAAAUUUAAAGUAUAUAAUGAAUUUUAAAAUUUUAAAAAUCAUUUAAAUGAGUUAUCUGAAUCUGAACCUAAUCUGCAAUGAUUCAAACCGAACCCGAAUCAAAAUUUAGAAAUAUCCAAAUGGGACUAAAGUCUUUGACCCCAAAAAUCUGAAAUCCAAAGAGACCCGACCGAACCGAAUGAGUAUCGUAACACCCAUCCCUAGUCAC